rnacentral:rRNA from 1 species
ACACGUGGGUAACCUGCCUGUAAGACUGGGAUAACUCCGGGAAACCGGGGCUAAUACCGGAUGCUUGAUUGAACCGCAUGGUUCAAUCAUAAAAGGUGGCUUUUAGCUACCACUUGCAGAUGGACCCGCGGCGCAUUAGCUAGUUGGUGAGGUAACGGCUCACCAAGGCGACGAUGCGUAGCCGACCUGAGAGGGUGAUCGGCCACACUGGGACUGAGACACGGCCCAGACUCCUACGGGAGGCAGCAGUAGGGAAUCUUCCGCAAUGGACGAAAGUCUGACGGAGCAACGCCGCGUGAGUGAUGAAGGUUUUCGGAUCGUAAAACUCUGUUGUUAGGGAAGAACAAGUACCGUUCGAAUAGGGCGGCACCUUGACGGUACCUAACCAGAAAGCCACGGCUAACUACGUGCCAGCAGCCGCGGUAAUACGUAGGUGGCAAGCGUUGUCCGGAAUUAUUGGGCGUAAAGCGCGCGCAGGCGGUUUCUUAAGUCUGAUGUGAAAGCCCCCGGCUCAACCGGGGAGGGUCAUUGGAAACUGGGGAACUUGAGUGCAGAAGAGGAGAGUGGAAUUCCACGUGUAGCGGUGAAAUGCGUAGAGAUGUGGAGGAACACCAGUGGCGAAGGCGACUCUCUGGUCUGUAACUGACGCUGAGGCGCGAAAGCGUGGGGAGCGAACAGGAUUAGAUACCCUGGUAGUCCACGCCGUAAACGAUGAGUGCUAAGUGUUAGAGGGUUUCCGCCCUUUAGUGCUGCAGCAAACGCAUUAAGCACUCCGCCUGGGGAGUACGGUCGCAAGACUG